rnacentral:rRNA from 1 species
UACGAAGGGGGCUAGCGUUGUUCGGAAUUACUGGGCGUAAAGCGCACGUAGGCGGAUUGUUAAGUGAGGGGUGAAAUCCCAGGGCUCAACCCUGGAACUGCCUUUCAUACUGGCAAUCUUGAGUUCGAGAGAGGUGAGUGGAAUUCCGAGUGUAGAGGUGAAAUUCGUAGAUAUUCGGAGGAACACCAGUGGCGAAGGCGGCUCACUGGCUCGAUACUGACGCUGAGGUGCGAAAGCGUGGGGAGCAAACAGGAUUAGAUACCCGGGUAGUCC